rnacentral:rRNA from 1 species
UACGUAGGGGGCGAGCGUUGUCCGGAUUCAUUGGGCGUAAAGCGCUUUAAGGCGGUUCGGUAAGUCGGGUGUGAAACCUCCAGGCUCAACCUGGAGACGCCACUCGAUACUGCUGUGACUAGAGUUCGGUAGGGGAUCACGGAAUUCCUGGUGUAGCGGUGAAAUGCGCAGAUAUCAGGAGGAACACCGGUGGCGAAGGCGGUGAUCUGGGCCGACACUGACGCUGUAGAGCGAAAGCAUGGGGAGCGAACAGG